rnacentral:rRNA from 1 species
UACAGAGGUCCCGAGCGUUGUUCGGAUUCACUGGGCGUAAAGGGUGCGUAGGUGGUGAGGUAAGUCGGAUGUGAAAUCUCCGGGCUCAACCCGGAAAUGGCAUUGGAAACUACCUUGCUGGAGGAUUUGAGGGGGGAUUGGAAUACUUGGUGUAGCAGUGAAAUGCGUAGAUAUCGUAAGGAAGACCAGUGGCGAAGGCGGGUCUCUGGACAGUUCCUGACGCUGAGGCACGAAGGCCAGGGGAGCAAACGGG